UACCUCUGUUUACCAAGCAAGAAGAACCUAUUGUAGGUCCAAGUGACAUGGAAAUGGAAAAACAAGCAGUAAAACAAAGCACUGUAGAUCCGAAAGUUCUGGUCACGUAUAGUAAAACUUAAUCCACCUGUAGUAAACAUUAAAAAGGAAGUUGAAGAUGAGGAGGUUGACGAACUAGCCAGAGAGUUGCAUAAUGCUACUAUAGUUUGUGUUCAAGCCACUUGUCGUUGUAAAGCCCAAAGGCCAGUUGAGAGAACUACUGUUGCCUCAGGCAAGAACUUCAAGAAGUUCCGAAAAGUUGUGUCAUUGAACAAGAGAGCAGUUCCUCAUAUAAUCGGUGGUAGUGUGACUUGGUGCCCCAUAACGAAAUCUUAGAGCCCCCAGACGACUUUUUACUACCAGAUCUUCCCAAACACCAGCCCACCCCUGAGGACGACUGGGGCUUCCAGAACACCAAGAA